rnacentral:rRNA from 1 species
GACGAACCGUCCAAACGUUAUUCGGAAUCACUGGGCUUACAGAGUUCGUAGGCGGUCUGGAAAGUUGGGUGUGAAAUCCCUCGGCUCAACCGAGGAACUGCGCUCAAAACUGCCAGACUCGAGGGAGAUAGAGGAAAGCGGAACUGAUGGUGGAGCGGUGAAAUGCGUAGAUAUCGCUUGGAACGCCGACGGCGAAAGCAGUCUGCUGGGGGUGUGCUGACGCUGAGACACGAAAGCCAGGGGAGCGAACGGG